rnacentral:rRNA from 1 species
ACGCUCGACACCUACGGGAGGCAGCAGUGGGGAAUAUUGCACAAUGGGGGAAACCCUGAUGCAGCGAUGCCGCGUGAAGGAAGAAGUAUCUCGGUAUGUAAACUUCUAUCAGCGGGGAAGAAAAUGACGGUACCUGACUAAGAAGCCCCGGCUAACUACGUGCCAACAGCCGCGGUAAUCUGAGCGGGCUGGCAAGGC